CCUACGGGAGGCAGCAGUGGGGAAUUUUGGACAAUGGGCGCAAGCCUGAUCCAGCAAUGCCGCGUGCAGGAAGAAGGCCUUCGGGUUGUAAACUGCUUUUGUCAGGGAAGAAAUGUUCUGGGCUAAUACCCCGGGAGAAUGACGGUACCUGAAGAAUAAGCACCG
rnacentral:rRNA from 1 species